rnacentral:rRNA from 1 species
CCUACGGGCGGCAGCAGUGAGGAAUAUUGGUCAAUGGGCGGGAGCCUGAACAAGCCAAGCCGCGUGAGGGAAGAAGGUACAGCGUAUCGUAAACCUCUUUUGUCAGGGAACAAAGGAGGGGACUAGUCCCCGGAUGAGGGUACCUGAAGAAAAAGCAUCGGCUAACUCCGUGCCAGCAGCCGCGGUAAUACGGAGGAUGCGAGCGUUAUCCGGUUUUAUGGGGUUUAAAGGGUGCGCAGGCGGCCUGUUAAGUCAGCGGUAAAAGCCCGGGGCUCAACCCCGGCGAGCCGUUGAAACUGGCGGGCUGGAGUUGGAGAGAAGUACGCGGAAUGCGCGGUGUAGCGGUGAAAUGCUUAGAUAUCGCGCAGAACCCCGAUUGCGAAGGCAGCGUACCGGCUCCACACUGACGCUGAGGCACGAAAGCGUGGGUAUCGAACAGGAUUAGAUACCCCAGUAGUC